ACGAAGGUCCCGAGCGUUGUUCGGAAUCACUGGGCGUAAAGGGAGCGUAGGCGGCGUGGUAAGUCAGAUGUGAAAUCCCGGGGCUCAACCCCGGAACUGCAUCCGAUACUGCCGUGCUAGAGGAUUGGAGAGGUAGCUGGAAUUCUUGGUGUAGCAGUGAAAUGCGUGGAUAUCAAGAGGAACACUCGUGGCGAAAGCGAGCUACUGGACAACUCCUGACGCUGAGGCUCGAAGGCCAGGGUAGCGAAAGGGAUUAGAUACCCCUGUAGUCCUGGCAGUAAACGGUGCACGCUUGGUGUGAGGGGAAUCGACCCCCCUUGUGCCGGAGCAAACGCGUUAAGCGUGCCGCCUGGGAAGUACGGUCGCAAGACUA
rnacentral:rRNA from 1 species